rnacentral:rRNA from 1 species
UACGUAGGGGGCGAGCGUUGUCCGGAUUUAUUGGGCGUAAAGAGCUCGUAGGCGGCUUAGCAAGUCGGGUGUGAAAACUCCAGGCUCAACCUGGAGACGCCACUCGAGACUGCUAUGGCUAGAGUCCGGUAGGGGACCACGGAAUUCCUGGUGUAGCGGUGAAAUGCGCAGAUAUCAGGAGGAACACCGGCGGUGUAGACGGCUCUCUGGACCGUAACUGACGCUGAGAUACGAAAGCGUGGGUAGCAAACAGG